UACGUAGGGGGCAAGCGUUGUCCGGAUUUAUUGGGCGUAAAGAGCGUGUAGGCGGCCAGAUAGGUCAGCUGUGAAAACUCGAGGCUCAACCUCGAGACGUCGGUUGAAACCAUCUGGCUAGAGUCCGGAAGAGGAGAGUGGAAUUCCCGGUGUAGCGGUGAAAUGCGCAGAUAUCAGGAAGAACACCCGUGGCGAAGGCGGCUCUCGUGGGACGGUACUGACGCUGAGACGCGAAAGCGUGGGGAGCGAACAGG
rnacentral:rRNA from 1 species